CUGUGUGUCUGUGUGCGCUAAGAAGAAGAAAAUGGCACUUCCCCUUCUUCGAAUCCCCGGCAUGCCACUCACCAACCAACACCAAUCAUUCCCUUCCAAUACCCGCCGCAAAGCCACGACGGCGAAGGCGGAGCUCGGGACGGCGGUGGCGCGGACGGGCGGAGCCGGUUACCAAUCUCCGUCCGUCGACGUUCCCACGCAUAAGGUCACAGUCCACGACAGACAACGAGGAAUCGUUCACGAGUUCGUCGUGCCUGAGGACCAGUAUAUAUUACAUACUGCUGAGGCCCAGAAUAUUACCCUUCCAUUCGCCUGCAGGCAUGGUUGUUGUACUAGCUGUGCUGUACGUAUAAAGAAGGGACAAAUUAGGCAACCAGAGGCACUUGGGAUAUCUGCCGAAUUGAGAGACAAGGGUUAUGCACUUCUUUGUGUGGGCUUCCCGACCUCUGAUGUUGAAGUGGAAACUCAAGAUGAAGAUGAGAAUAUAUCGUGGAAUCAAUAAGUCAUCUAAUCAAGUAUAUUGGCUUCAAUUUGGACGUUAUUUUGCCCGAGGACCAGUGGAAAGAGAUGACUAUGCCUUGGAGUUGGCCAUGGCUGACGAGUAAGCAAUGCGAGCAAAGAAUGUGAAUAUUUUGUUUCCCCUUCUUUUCUCCUUUUUUUUCUUCUUCAUAUAUCUACUAUGUUAUCUGGUCUUUGUUUAUUUUUCCCAUCUAUAUAUACUAUUGUGUGAAUUCUAAGUAAAGCCUCAUGCUAUAUGCGGGUUCGUGUUUAAAUGUUUCAAAGCUUUAGGGGAGUAUAUUGAAAGAUUAAUUUAAUGUAAUUUGUUCAAUCUUA